CUUCAGGGAGCCCAGCCACAGCGGGCGGUCCGCCGGGCGUUCCUGCCCGUACGUGGCCAGCAGUGCCUGCGCCUC
rnacentral:antisense_RNA from 13 species